AAUUAAACACCAUAAUCAAAAAAGACUCACAUAUACUUUACUGAAAGCUUCUAUAGGACUGGACGGGACUCAGAGAAUGUGAGUCAUGAAGAGCUAUAAUUUUCAUGUAAAGCAACUGGAUGUAGUUAAGUAAUAAAAAUUUAAGGUUCUUUCUCUCCAUAUGCUUGGCUGUGUUUGAAUAUUUUUUAAAUGUCUGAUAUUAUACAUACACAACUUAUUUCCUUUGACAUGAGGCUAUGUUGCCAUGAAAGCGGGAAUAUCACUGAGAUAGGUGUAUAAAUUAAGAAUUACACUUAAGGCAUGCUUCUUGAGAUAAAUAGGACCUUUCAUUAAAUAUGACUUGGGUUAAGAAAAGGGGUGCAGUGAGUAAUUAAUUGCAUAAAGUAGUGGUGAAUGUGUCAAUUAAAAUUAGAUUUUGCUACAUGUAAAGAGCUAUCUAAUUAAAUGUCAUUGAAUGAGAAGUGAGUUCUCUCAUGAAACAAGUCUGCAGCAUGGUAUUGCCAAAUUGGUGUGAUUGCUCUAUCAUCAUUAGGCAUAAAGGAUCCUUCUAUUUUCUCUCUUUUUUUCUUCAUCUCACUUACCUACUGAAGCAAUGAAUAUCACUGACUAAAUGGAUGGAGGAGAAGAAAGAUGAUGACAAAGAACCAGUAAUGCAAAUUCAACUAUCCCUGUGUUAUAGAAGCCAGAAAAACUUAAACUGCCAGAUCUCAAGAAGCUUAGCAAAAAGUCAGAAUUUUUUAUUGUUGGAUUCAGAAAGCAUAACUGCAGAAUAAGAGUGGUGGAAGGAAAGUGUCAUUAUUCACUUCAUAAGGAGAAAACCCUGAUAACCUGACUUAUCAUCAAGAUCACUAACUCGAGGUACCCAGUGUUCACCUACUUCACAAAAAAAGACCAAAACAAGAAAAAAACAAUGGCACUUUGAGUAGAUACUCUACAAGAAAACACUGAAUUGAUCAAAGAAGACAGGAAAACCCUCUGAAGCAUGGAACCUUGAAAUCUCAGCAUAGAGAGGUAAGAAAAACACCUGGCCAGGAUUGGCUUCAAAUGCACAGGUAGCAAAAGCAAAACUAGACAAAUUAGAUUAAAUGAAA
rnacentral:lncRNA from 1 species